UUGAAAGAAUAUGAUGAAAUUCAAUCAUACUUUUUGGAAAUUCGCACAAAUAUAUAAACAUAAAGCAUAUGUGAAAUCGUUUAGAAGAUAUUUUUCAAGGUUUUGCUCAUAAAUGAUUCACAAAUAUUUAAUAUAAAGAGCUGACUUAAACAAUAAAACUGAUAUAUUUUUCUUAAACAAAAAUGGAUACAAGCCAAAUUUUAUCAGACCAAAAUAAUUUACAACCCCCAAAAAGUAGGUAGACUUAUACACCAAGAUGACUUUGGAAGUCCAAAAGUGCCAUGUAGAAUGCUGCAAGAUUCAGAAACAUGAUAGACUUUUGGAAUAUACACUAGAAACCAUUUCAACAAUAAAUUAUCAAUAUGCAAAAAAAAAAAGACAAAAAAAACCCAUCCCAACA
rnacentral:lncRNA from 1 species